rnacentral:lncRNA from 1 species
CGACGACGACGACGAUGACGACAAUAACGAGAACAAUGACAACAAUGACAACAACAAUAACGAUGACGAUGACGAGGACAACGACGACAACAACGACAAUAACGAGAACAACGACAACAAUGACAACAACAACAACGACAAUAGCGACGACAAUGACAACACCGAUAGCAACGACAAGAAUAACAACAACAACAAAAGAACAC